GGCCGACUAGCUCAGUUGGUUAGAGCGUCGUGCUAAUACCGAAUCGUGGGGCUUGACCUCAUAAAUCGGGUGACGCGAAGGUCUUGGGUUCGAUCCCCACGUUGGCCA